AUUGAACGCUGGCGGCAGGCCUAACACAUGCAAGUCGAACGAGUGGCGGACGGGUGAGUAAUGUCUGGGAAACUGCCUGAUGGAGGGGGAUAACUACUGGAAACGGUAGCUAAUACCGCAUACCAUCGGAUGUGCCCAGAUGGGAUUAGCUAGUAGGUGGGGUAAAGGCUCACCUAGGCGACGAUCCCUAGCUGGUCUGAGAGGAUGACCAGCCACACUGGAAUGUAGACAAGGUCCAGAGUCCUACGGGAUGGAGCAGUGGGGAAUAUUGCACAAUGGGGGCGAGCCUGAUGCAGCCAUGCGGCGUGUAUGAAGAAGGCCUUCCGGUUGUAAAGUACUUUCAGCGGGGAGGCGUUACCCGCAGAAGAAGCACCGGCUAACUCCGUACCAGCAGCCGCGGUAAUAC
rnacentral:rRNA from 1 species